GCCGAGACGCCAUUUUCGGCGGCGGGAGCAGCGGAGCCGGAGCCGGCGGAGCGCGGGGCGGCGGCUGCGAGGAGGAGCCGCGGGAGACAGCGCGCGCGGGCGGCUGAGCAUGCUGCGGGGCGGCCGCGCCGGCGCUCCUCGCUACUGACCGCGGCGCCGCACCUGAGGCGGCCGAGGCGGCGGCCCCGGCGGUCCUGCUCCGCGCACGCGCCCGCGGCCUCCCGGUGCUGACAGCGCGAGCGCGCGGCCCCGCGGGAGCAGCACGAAUGUACGACAGCAUGUCCACGAUGGUGUGCGUAAAGGAGGACAAGUUGGAGAAACUCACGCAGGAUGAAAUCAUCUCUAAGACGAAGCAAGUAAUUCAGGGGCUCGAAGCUCUGAAGAAUGAGCACAAUUCCAUUUUACAAAGUUUACUGGAAACGCUCAAGUGUUUGAAGAAGGAUGACGAGAGUAACCUGGUGGAGGAGAAGUCGAACAUGAUCCGGAAGUCGCUGGAGAUGCUGGAGCUGGGCCUGAGCGAGGCGCAGGUCAUGAUGGCUCUGUCCAAUCAUCUGAAUGCCGUUGAGUCAGAGAAGCAGAAACUGCGUGCACAGGUUCGUCGUCUGUGCCAGGAAAAUCAGUGGCUGCGAGAUGAAUUGGCCAACACGCAGCAGAAAUUGCAGAAGAGUGAGCAGUCUGUGGCUCAACUGGAGGAAGAAAAGAAGCAUCUGGAAUUCAUGAAUCAGUUAAAAAAAUACGAUGAUGACAUUUCUCCAUCCGAGGACAAAGACACUGACUCCACCAAAGAGCCUCUGGAUGACCUUUUCCCAAAUGACGACGACGACCCUGGCCAAGGAAUCCAGCAGCAGCACAGCAGCGCGGCGGCGGCGGCUCAGCAGGGCGGCUACGAGAUCCCGGCGCGGCUGCGCACGCUCCACAACCUGGUCAUCCAGUACGCCUCCCAGGGGCGCUACGAGGUCGCCGUGCCCCUCUGCAAGCAGGCCCUGGAGGACCUGGAGAAGACCUCUGGCCACGACCACCCGGACGUGGCCACCAUGCUGAAUAUCCUGGCCUUGGUGUACAGAGACCAGAAUAAGUACAAAGAUGCCGCGAACCUGCUGAACGAUGCACUGGCCAUCCGUGAAAAAACGCUGGGCAAAGAUCAUCCUGCGGUGGCAGCAACUCUGAAUAACCUUGCAGUGCUUUACGGCAAGAGAGGAAAGUACAAAGAAGCCGAGCCGCUGUGUAAACGGGCGCUGGAGAUCCGAGAGAAGGUUUUGGGAAAGGAUCACCCUGAUGUGGCCAAGCAGCUGAAUAACCUGGCCCUACUGUGCCAGAACCAGGGCAAGUAUGAAGAAGUGGAGUAUUACUAUCAAAGAGCCCUCGAGAUCUACCAGACCAAGCUGGGGCCUGAUGACCCCAAUGUGGCCAAGACGAAAAACAACCUGGCGUCCUGCUACCUGAAGCAAGGAAAAUUCAAGCAAGCAGAAACACUGUACAAAGAGAUUCUCACUCGGGCACAUGAAAGAGAGUUUGGUUCCGUGGAUGAUGAAAAUAAGCCCAUUUGGAUGCACGCCGAGGAGAGAGAAGAGUGUAAAGGAAAGCAAAAGGAUGGGACGUCUUUCGGAGAGUAUGGCGGCUGGUACAAAGCCUGCAAAGUUGACAGUCCAACUGUUACAACUACGUUAAAAAACCUUGGGGCACUUUACAGACGUCAAGGCAAAUUUGAAGCUGCAGAAACGUUAGAAGAAGCGGCCAUGAGGUCACGUAAACAGGGCCUUGACAACGUGCACAAACAGAGAGUAGCUGAGGUGCUGAACGACCCCGAGAACACGGAGAAGCGGAGAAGCCGCGAGAGCCUCAGCGCGGACGUGGUCAAGUACGAGAGCGGCCCAGACGGAGGGGAGGAAGUGAGUAUGAGCGUAGAGUGGAUCGGGGACGGCACUGGAUCUUUAAAACGCAGUGGUUCCAUUAGCAAACUCCGGGCUUCACUUAGACGCAGCAGUGAGAAGCUGGUUAGGAAGCUGAAGGGAGGAAGUUCUCGAGAGAGUGAGCCGAGGAACGCCGGCAUGACGCGUGCCCGUUCUCUGAAUGUCCUUAAUGUGGCCGGCACGGCAGCCGAAGACCAAUUCCAAGAACGAAAUAAUUGUCUGGCAGACUCGAGGACUCUGAGCGCCAGCCACGCUGACCUGGCCCGCUGAGGGUCGCGGCUCAGCUCGAUUGAGUCCCCGAGGCUGUUGGAGCGCUGGGACCCUCAAAGCUCUGCCAGGCCCCUUCCCCCCUGCCCGGGAGCCCCAACCCCUGGUGAUGUCCCUUCCCAGAUAGUGACCUUCACCACCCACUGGGAGGUCUGCUCGGAAUUCUGUGAAGUGGCCUGUAGUGCCCGAGAGGCACUGACGCCCGGUGGUGAGACCCGGCCGGGCGUGGUGGCCGGGGAAGCAGACGUGGCCCCGAGCUGGCUUCAGCGCUGGGAACUGGCUGCGGCUCGGGACACCUGCCACCGCCCCCCAAUCGACUGUAAUCCUGUGUUAGGGCUGUUGGUCGGGACUGGAGCCUUGCAGUGCAUCCUUUGAGGAUGGGAGUCUGACCACCUGUGGCAGUGGUGCCCGGGCUCAGGGCCGGGGGAGGCCUCGCCCUUCCUGGGUCUGCCGCUCGGCCCGCCUGUGCCCCCGGGCUCCCGCUGCUGCGCUGCUGGCCGCGCCUGGGCAGGCCCCACCCCUCAGAACCCGUUUCCCCUCUCCAGGCCCCUGUUUGCUUGCCGGGGGAGCUGCGUGUGUUCCUAUUAAGAAGCUUUUGUUUGUAGGAAUAAGUAACGGGGCCGAGUUCUGACAUGGUCAUUUUCAAAUCACCCCUGGAGUGUUUCCUGAAGGGUCUUUGAGCCCGGCCGGGAGGCUGAGAAAACCCUGGACCAGUGACGAGGGGUAGCUCUGGGUGACGAGAGCCGUGCAGAGGGUCCCUCUGUGCUGGGAGCUAGAACCGGAGGACUCGUGCUCUCUUUGGGUUCGAGAGAGGAUCUGGGAAGCUGUGAGCAUCUUUGUGAAAGGCAGUCGGGUUUCGACUUUAUGUGGUGGUGGUGUCACGGCAGAGGCACUCCCAGCACCCUUUUCCUCAGGAAUCGUGCUGGGCUGGGUGCCUGCUCCCUCCGGGCGCCCUCGGGCUGCAUGUGUCCUUCAGGCUGAGUGUGGGCUUGGGGCAUCCUAGGGUUGGUUACAGCAGGGAGGUCCCGUUGUGGUUCAGCAGGUUAAGGAUCCAGUGUUGCUAUGGCUGUGGCGUAGCUCUCAGCUGCAGCUCCUUCUUGACCCCUAGCUUAGGAACUUCCACGUGCAGUGGGUGCAGCCAUAAAAAGAAAAAAAACCCCCAAAACCAAAAAAACUUUGUUUGAAAGUUUCCUGUAAUUGAGGUGUGACCGCAUGGCGCAGGUGCUUCUGCUUGUGCAGUGGCUGCAUCCAUGCAGGCAGGCUCCAGAGCGCAUGCAGCUGCCCUGGUGAGGGGCCUGCACAGCUGGUGGCUUUCCUGCAGCUUGUCUGCUCUGGCCACGCACUUUUCUUCAGCCCCCAGCUCCAUGAAGGUUUUGCAGCUUCUAGUGGAUCAGGAACUUACUUUUUUUUCUUUUUUUUUGGUCUUUUUAGGGCUGUGCCCAUGGCACAUGGAGGUUCCCAGGCUAGGAACCUCUAGGAAUCAGAGCCGUAGCCGCUGGCCUACACCAGAGCCACAGCAACGCGGGAUCCGAGCCGCGUCUGCGACCUACACCACAGCUCACGGCAACGCCAGAUCGUUAACCCACUGAGCAAGGGCAGGGACCGAACCCGCAACCUCAUGGUUCCUAGUCGGAUUCGUUAACCACUGCGCCACGACGGGAACUCCCAGGAACUUAUUUUUUAAAUGCUCUCUAGAGGGGUUUGAAAAACUUCCAUAGGUUUUGAGAAACCACUGAAAACAGAAGAGCAGAAUGGUAUCCCUGCACGGACACUGCACUGCUUCCCAGUCCGAGUUUAGGUACAGUAGGGGCCACGUGGCUCCGCCCAGGUGCAGGUGCAGUGUCUGUGUCACAUCGCAGCCCAGAGGGGGCACCAAGAAGCUCUUCUAGCUCCUCCUCCCACGACAUUUGAAGUUUUGUUCCAGCCACAGAGCUAACAGUGCAUCUGAAACAUCCUUAGCUUCCCUUAGUGACACUUGUUUCUGGAAAAAGAGGGCAUGUAAAAAGAAGAAACAGGGCUGGGAAUUUAAUGUGAAGCUCCCAGUAGGUGGAAGCAGGCCUUCUUUGCAGGAGUCUUGGUUGAACCUGGCCUGGCCUCAGCUCCCUGAGCGUUGUGGUGGCCUUUGCAAGGCCACGUCGGAAGCCUUUGGCAUAGAAGCUGGCAGGGCUUCCCGAAGCCGGGCUGUAAAAGCCUUCGUGUUUCAGAGGCGGUUCUACCUGGGAAUCUUCGCAUUCGCCCUGCUUUUGGGCUUGAUGGGAUCUCAGUCCCCAGGUCAGGCUGUACCAAGUUUUAACCAUUAGACCACCAGGGAACUCCUUGCAAUUUCUCAUUUUUCAAACUUAGCAAAAUAGAGCUAAGUCAGGGAGUUCCCGUCAUGGUUCAGGAAUGAACCCAGCUCGUAUCUGUGAGGACGUGGGUUUGAUCCCUGGCUGCGCUCAGUGGGUUAGGGAUCCAGGGUUGGGGUGAGCCGCGGUGCAGGUUGCAGACGUGCUUCAGAAGCAGCGUCGCUGUGGCUGUGGUGUAGGCCGGCAGCUGCGGCUCUAAAUGAGACCCCUCGCCUGGGAACUGCCACGUGACGCGGGUGUGCACCUAAAAAGACAAAUAAAAAGCCAGGGCUACAUGAGGUUGUAACUGCUUCAGGUCUGGUGGGAGGUUGACGCUUGGAGGGGCUGCUAGACGCUCGCCUUCCUGGUCGGGGCACCCGAGGGCUGGACACACUUCCACACUGUCCAUCAGGCUGGCCUCCCCUGGCGGGGGACGUGGACAGGAGCCGAGUGUCUGCAGGCUGCACCUCCAGCGUCAGCAGGUGGCUGAGGGAGAGCCGGCCCUUGCGGCGCCUCCCCGGGCCUUUUCCCCUCGGCAGAGGGCUUCACUCGGUUACCUUCGGCAACUGAAAGCUGCUGGGAACGCCCCUGCGGGGAACCGUCUUUGGUAGAGUCUAAGGGCGGUGAAGGGUACCGAGUUUACGGCGCGUCGUGCUCGUCGUCCUCGUAGGAGGUUUGGAUGUAGGAAGCCAACUCCUGGUGUGUUUACAUUUGCACUUGUUUUUGGGGUUUUGGGAAGCAGAAGUGAGCGGGUCAGCUGAGUGAGCGCCGUCUGAUGGUGGGAGCUAACCCCGGGGUUCCCGGGUCUGCAAGGACUGUCCGCUUGUCCCCGAGGAGCGGCUGGGAGGCCCGGCACAGGCAGGGCGGACACUCCUUUGGGACCUGUUGGCGUUCCUGGGACACAGAAAACCCCACUGCAAGGGCCCCGAGGCCCGUGGUGGGUGGCACCCAGGACGGCCCCUGGCCGCCAGGGGCUGCGUGCUGGCCUGAGCCUCCGCGGUGUGGGUCAGCCGCUAGACGUGCCUGCUCUUUGGAGCGACGGUUUUCUCAUUGUUGGUGUGACGUGCAUAGGAAAGCACUUAGAAUUCUCUACGUCCAGUUGCAAGAAUAAAGUUUUAUUUCCCGUUGUGACGUCCCUGUGCUUUGGUGGGAAGGCCCUUCUGUACAACGCCACUCCCACAGAGGAGCCUUUUCCUGCUCAACACACGCCACGCCACCUCUUUGGGGUCACAGACGGCUCUGAAAACAUGAUGGAAGUUGUGCACGGUGAUCCUGCCCUGAGAAAUGUACAAACCAGCGGGUGACAGGGACCUUCGGCCCCACCCCGGGCUGUUCUGGGGCCCGUUCUGCCUGAGUGGAUGGUCCCGUACAUGUCCAAGGGCCAUGAGGAGGCCUGACAGCGCGCAGCCCACGUGCCAAGGCCCGUGCCUGGCAGAGAGCAAACUGGCGAGGGGCCGGGGGCCGUCACCUCGCACGUGCCCUUGUCCAAGGCCUGCGUGCCAGGUGGUGAGGUGGUGGCACAGACACAGCGACAAUGGGUGAAGGCAAGACAGGCCGGCAGGGUUGAGCAGUCACACACGCUGACACCACGCCUUGUGGCCACGACUGGACAUUGGGGUUCUGGCAUUUGUCGCAGGCGCCGCAGGCCCCUGGGGUGGGGUUGGGGGCCUCCUGCCUGGGCGUUGGCCAGGGAGGCCAGGCUGUAGGAGGCACUCGGGACACACCAGGACGUGCUCUUGUGUGCCCAGAACUGGCUUCCCAGCAGAUGGGCCAGACCGGGGCCGCACUGGCUGCUCCUUCCUCCAGCCAAGGCUGGCGGCUGAGGCCACGCAGACGUCACUUCUGCCUGGUCCCUCCCCUCCUGGGCCCUGCAGCCUGCAGGGGAGUUCUCACCACCCUGUGCCAGAUGGAAGCCCUGGAAGCUCUGGCCAUGCAGUGUGCAUGGGGGGCCAGGAGCCGACACCCCCUCAAGGGGGUGAGCGGGCCCGCUGUGGCCUGAGGCAUGGGCCUGGGGGCUUUGGGAGGAGGAUGGGAGCCAAGUGGGCACAGGACAGAGAAGGCUGCUCCUUGAGAGGCUGGGCGUUCAGGGGACCUCUGUAGGUAGGGACCCUGGCGCAGCCACGGGGGGCAGUGCCCAUGGCCUGGAAACAACAGUGCACAUCCAGAGCCAGAGGGCGGAGCAGACCCUGGUCCUCAGGUGGGGAGGCCCGUGCGCCCCGAGACCCUAACCUGGCGAGUCAUCCAGCAGGACUCGCUCCCAGGCGUGCCUCGCACGCCCUCGGUGGUGACUGUGUAGCAGCAGGACCAGGGCGGCAGGUGGGGGGCGAAGACCAGCCUCAGGGUGCGGCUGGGUGGGGCGGGGGCGGCCUCCUCCGGGCGGCGCCGGUCCAUCAGCAGCCUCAUCAGGAGCUGGCUGGACCAGGUUAUUCCGAGGGCUGGCGACGUCCGCUCUCCCCCGGCCCUGCGGGAGGACACAGGCCGAGCCCCCUGGUCAGGAGGGACCAGGGCGCACCGCCACCGCCCUGCCCGCUGGGACGGCCCCGCUCACCCUGCUGCCUCAUGCGCAUCCACGGCCUCCGUCACCUGCCAGAUGAGGGUCAGCGGCGGUGAGGCCCCCCUCUGGUGGCCCAGCCGCACAGGACUCCCCCCACCACUCCCGCGCGGGGCGCAGGCCCACCUGGUUGAUGCAGAGCACGGGGCUCCGGAAGGCGCAGCUCAGCCGCCGCAGCUCGGCCCCCAGCGCCUGCAGACGCCUGGCCCUGCGGGCCGAGUCUGCGCCGGCAAACUCGCAGCGGAACGGGGCUGCCACCGAGUCGAUGACCAGCAGGCGGGCCACACCCCGCGACAGCAGCACAGGCACUUUCCGACUCACGCAGUCCAGCAGGGUGUCCUGGAAGCCGAGGGGUGGCCGUCACCGCCUGCACCAGGGGACCCGCUCCUGUCCCUUAUUGCUUCCCGGCCCCGUCGUGGCAGCCAGGCCCUCUCCUUCAGCGGCCCUCGCCAGGGCCGACCUGUCCUCACCAGAGCCGCUGGUACUGCCCAGCCCCACCUGUGAAGGGAGGAGGGAGGCACCAGGCGGGGAUCUGGGUCUGUCCUGCGCACAGGGUCAUCUCUAUGGGCUGUGACCUGUGGGCCAGCCCCACGCCUCCCCAAGGCCCCUGUGCUCUGAGCAGCUCUGGCCUGGCUGGGGCGCCCUCAGGCCUGUCCCUUGGGGCCACUUCGCCCUGCCCGCCUGGGCUCUCUGCCUCAGUGCCAAUGGGCCCUGCCCAGUGCUUCCUCGCCCUGGGGUGAAACGCAGCUCUGUGCUUAAACCUCCAGGCUGUCUCCAGCAGAGGCCCUUUUUGUGGAGAAUGGCAGCAGCAGCAGUGGCCUGGAGGACACGAACCUUAACUGAGGCUGCACCUGGGCCUGGGAGAGCCGGCACAGCGCUGCUUGUGUGUGUCCAGAGCAGGCCCUGUGACAGCCAGGGGACGGUCGCGGAGGCUGGAGGGCCUGGAGCACCACAUCUUCUGUGUCCCCGCGCCCUGGGCCCCGUCAGACUAACAGCCACACCACUGCUGGGACACGCUCGCUUGCGAAGCCCCGGUCACGCUUGGCCCCUGGAGGACGUUCUGCCCCUGACGAGCUGUGUCCUGAACCGCCUGGAAAAGGCCACUGGCUGUCCGGGCUCUUGUGCCAUUUCCCAUCCUGUUAUCUGCCCCCACGCUCCAUGUGAUAAUGUAUUUUACUGUAAAUUUUUUUAAAAUUAAAAGUUUAUACAUCUUA